GUUCACCAACUCUGAUCUUAUUUAGAUAAGGCCAUAUUCAAAGUGGAAGUUCUCUCCUCCCUUCUGAGAAAGGUAAAUCCUUCUUUAAUGGCCCAUUUUUUCCACUGGUUUCUCACUCACAGAGAUCUUUCAUUUAGGUCAUUUUUUUUCUUUUGCCACAAUGUUUUUCCUUUCCAUGCCGGAUAUACUCUCAUGGGUUUUUUAGCUGGAUCCGAAUGCCUUAAGAGCUGAUUCUGAGGCCAGAGUGCUAUUUAGGGCAUUUGCCAUUCCAUGAGUCUGCUGUGUAUCCUGCUUCCCAUAUAGGAUCAUUCUCUCCUUUUUAAUUCUAUCAAUUAUUAUUUGCAGACAUUGGUCUUAUUUAUGUAAUCCCUUUGAAUUUACUCCUAUCUUUUUGAUUAAUUAUGAACUUAAACUGAUCUCUUUAACAAGUAAGAUGGCAUUGGUACACCUUGAUCUGAUUGGAUUGGAAUCCCCUGGCACGUUUCUAGCUCUACCAUUAGGGGUAAGCCCGAGUGAGCAAAUGCUGAACUGUCCAUCUCCUCCCUCUCUUAUUCCCACUCUUAUAUUUAACAGGGAUCACUUUUUAGUUAAUUUUAAAUGGCUAAGAAUAAUUUUGUGUUAAUUAAAGAAUUCAACCAAUGGUAUUAAGUAGAACAAAAAAAAUACUAAAAGGAAUAAAAUGCUAAGUUGUUCCUCAAGAGUCAGGACAAGCGCUGAUCAAGACAGUGUUUCUCAUAGUGUCAAUUUCACUUCAACAAAUUUCCCCUUUGGUGCUCAGUUAGUUGUCACCGAUCAGGGAGAACAUAUGAUAUUUGUCCCUUUGGGACUGAGUUAUUUCACUCAGCAUGAUGUUUUCCAGAUUCCUCCAUUUUGUUGCAAAUGACCAGAUUUCAUUAUUUUUUACUGCUGUAUAGUAUUCUAUAGAGUACAUACCCCAUAAUUUCUUUAUCCAGUCUUCUGUUGAUGGGCAUUUGGGUUGAUUCCAUUUCUUAGCUAUUGUGAAUUGGAAGCUAACCCUUUCUAAGUUGCAUAGUUUGCAAAUUAUUUCUCCCAUUCUGUGGGUUGCCUCUUCACUAUGCUGAGUGUUUCUUUUCCAAGGCAGAAACUUCACAGAUUGAUGUAAUCCCAUUUGUCAAUUUUGACUUUGAUUGCCUGUGCUUCUGGGGUCUUUUCCAAGAAGUCUUUGCCUAUGCCUAUUUGGAAACUUGCAGAGUUUCCACAAUGUUCUCUAGUAAUUUGAUAGUAUUUGGUCAUAGAUUUAUGUCUUUGUGUCUUUGAUCCAAUUCAAGUGGAUUUUUGUGUAAGAUGUAAGGUAUAUGUGGAAGUUUCAUACUUCCACACUUGGCGAUCCAGUUCCCCAACACCAUUUGUUAAAGAGACUGUCAAUGUUCCAGGAAUUGAUUUUAGCUCCUUUGUCAAAUAUAAGUUGGUUGUAUAUGCAUGGAUUGAUUUCUGGAGUUUUUAUUCUAUGUCACUGAUCUACAAAUCUGUGUUUCUGAUAGCACUAGGCUGUUUUGAUUAUAACUGCCCUGUAGUAUGUCUCAAAAUCUGAUAUUGUGAUGCCUCCAGCUUUGGUCUUUUGUUGUAUAAGAUUAUAUACUUUGUUGUAUAAGAUUGAUUUAGCUAUUCAGGGCCUCUUGUGUUUCCAUAUGAAUUUUAGUAUAAUUUUUUCUAGAUCUGGGAAGAAUGUCAUUGGUAUUUUGAUUGGAAUCACAUUGAAUCUGUAAAUUGCUUUUGGUAGUAUGGACAUUUUCAUGAUGUUGAUUCUUCCAAUCCAUGACCAUGGAAGAAUUUUCCAUUUUUUAAUGUCUUCUUCUAUUUCUUUCUCAAAUGUCUUGAAAUUUUCAUCAUACAGAUCGUUGAUGUCUUUGCUUAAAUUUGUUUCAAGAUAUUUGAUUCUUUUUGGAUAUUGUGAAUGGGAUUGAUUUUAAAGGUUCUUUCUCAGCCAUGACAUUGUUUGUAUAUACAAAGGCUAUUGAUUUUUCCAUUGAUUUUAUAUCCUGCUGUUUCACCAAACUCUUUUAUGAGUUCCAAUAGUCUCUCAGUUCCCUAUAUAUUGGAUGCUGUCUUCUGCAAAUAGGGAUAAUUCGAUUUUCUCCUUCCCAAUUUGUAUUCCUUUGAUUUCUUUUUCACGACUAAUGACUCUGGUUAAUACUGCCAGGACUAUACUAAAUAACAAUGGUGGGAGUGAACAUCCUUGUCAUGUUUCAGAUGUUAAGGGAAAUGCUUCCUGCUUUUCCCCAUUCAAUAGGAUGCUGGCUGUCAGUAUAGUGUCAAUUAGCUCUGUUGUUUCUUUCUUUUUUUUUUUUUAAGAUUUAUUUAUUUAUUUGAAAGAGUUACGCAGAGAGAGAGAGAAAGAGAGAGAGAGAGGUCUUCCAUCCGCUGGUUCACUCCCCAAUUGGCCGCAAAGGCCGGAGCUGCGCCAAUAUGAAGCCAGGAGCCAGGAACCUCCUCCAGGUCUCCCACACGGGUGCAGGGGCCCAAGGACUUGGGCCACCUUCUACUGCUUUCAUAGACCAUAGGAUGGAGCUGGAUCAGAAGUGGAGCAGGCCGGCGCCACGGCUCAAUAGGCUAAUCCUCCACCUGCGGCGCCAGCACACUAGGUUCUAGUCCUGGUAGGAGUGCCUGAUUCUGUCCCGGUUGUCCCUCUUACAGUCCAGCUCUCUGCUAUGGCCCGGGAGUGCAGUGGAGGAUGGCCCAAGUCCUUGGGCCCUGCACCCACAUGGGAGACCAGGAGAAGCACCUGGCUCCUGGCUUCAGAUAAGUGCAGUGCGCCGGCCACAGCGCGCCGGCCACAGCGGCCAUUGGAGGGUGAACCAACGGAAAAAAGGAAGACCUUUCUCUCUGUCUCACUGUCCACUCUGGCUGGAAAAAAAAAAAAAAGAAGUGGAGCAGCCGGGUCUCGAACUGGCGCCCAUAUGGGAUGCAGUGCUUCAGGUCAGGGCAUUAACCUACUGCACAAUAGCACCAGCCCCUGCUCUGUUGUUUAUUGAUUUCUUAUCUAGUUGAUGUGUCCAUUGAUGAAAGUGGGAUAUUAAAGUCCUCUGUUAUUGUGUUGGAGUCUGUCUCCCUUUAUUUCCACUGUCAUUUCUUUUAAAUAACAAGUACCUUAUAAUUAGUUGCAUAUGCACUUAUUAUAGUCACAUCUUCCUAUUAAACUGAUCCCUUAAUCAUUAUAGUGCCCUUCUUCAUCUUUCUUAAGUUUUUAUGUUAAAGUCUAUUUUGUCUGAUGUUGGAAUGGUAGUACCUAGCAUGGAAUAUGAUUUUCCAUCCUUUCACUUUCAGUCUGCAUGUAUCUUUGUUGGUGAGAUGUGUUUCUUGUAGGCAGCAAAUAUGUGGGUCUUGCAUUUUAAUACAUUCAGCCAGUCUGUAUCUUUUAAUGGUAUCUUUUAACUGGAAAGUGGGGUCAUUUACAUAAAAGGUGACUAUAUUGAUAAGUAACAAUUUGGCCCUGCCAUUUUUUUCAUAAAUAUUCCUAUUGUUUACUUUGAAUUUCAUUUAUACUUACACUGGGUUUUUUUCUGCCUUCAUGUUAUUUUUUAAUGAUGACUAUGUUCCUGUAUUUAUGUGUGUAGCACAUCCUUAAGCAUUUUUUUUUUGUAAGGCUGGACAAGUGGCUACAAAUUCUUUCAAGUUUUGCUUGUAAUGUUUAAUUCCUUUAAAUUUCAGUUUCUGUUUCUUUAUUUCACCUUCAUUCAUAAAUGAGAGCUUUGCAGGGUACAGUGUUCUGGGAUGACAGUUUUUGUUUUUUUAAGUCUUGCACUUUAUCUUGUCAUUCCCUUCUAGCCUAUAGGUUUUAUGAUAAGAAUUCAGCUGUGAGUCUAAUUGGAGACUCUCUGAAAGUAAUCUGGCAUUUAUUUCAUGUGCAUUUUAGAAUAUUUUCAUUAUGUUUUCCUGUGAAAAGUUUGAUUACAAUGUGUCAUGGUGAAGAUCUUUUCUCGUCAUAUCUGUUAGGAGUUCUAUGUGCUUCCUCUACUUGGACAUCCCUUUUUUUCUCUAAAUUGGGGAAGAUUUCUGUAAAUAUUUCACUAAGUAGGCCUUCUAGUCCAUUCUCUCUUUCUUCACUUUGAAGAACUCCCAAGAGCCAUAUGUUGGAUCAUUUGAUAGUAACCCGUACAUCUCCAAAACCUUUUUUAAGUUUUCUAUUUUUUUCUUCUUUUUUUUUCCUUUUUCUUUUGGUUCUGAUUAUUAGAUUUCUUGCCCCAAACCAAAAUGGCUCCCACUCUUUCUCAACCAGGCAGCAGGCACUGUUGUAGGGAAGUUGGGGUGAGAUAAACAUGCCCCCUCUACUUCUACUGGGUCCAUGGCAACUGCUAGCAACUGGUAGCCCCCAAGUCUGCAGUCCAGUUCAUGCCAUGCUCUCCCUCUGGCUAUAUCACCACGGGUUGCUGCUGUACAGUCUCCCCUCUGUCUCCAAGCUGUGCCUGUUUUGUCUCUCAGCUGCCGCAGUUGUGCUUGUAUUGGUGUUUGUGCCGCCUGCCUGCACGCUCCACAUAGGUCCACAGCAUUCAUCUUCCUCUUGUAGGAUAUCCAGUGCAGUUUUCUCUCCAAUUCUCCCUUGAGAGUGCACUUCCUAUGUUUUUUCACUUUUUUUUUUAAUUCCUUAUCCCUAACCUAGUGCACAGUGUAAUUCCCUAAUCCACCAUCUUGGAAUCUCCCUAAUACUUAUAAAAUUAGAAAAGUGCACGUUAACAUGGUCACUUCCAAGCAGAGUGACAACCAGAAUAUAGAACUCUCUCUCAGGAAGAAUUCAAGUAUCCCUUCCCUUCUGCUGCUGCUUCUUUUCUUCUUCUCCUUCUCUAACUUCUUCCUCUUCCUCUUUUUCCCGGUCUUCUUCUUCUUCCCCUCCUCCUCCUCUUCCUCUUUAUUCUUUUGUUUACAAAACUAAUCAUGACCAUUUAAGCCACUGGGACGUUCAUGCCAGCAGCCUUCUGCUCAGCAGUACAGGGUCUUUCCCAUGGUGCUACCUGUAGAUGAAUGGGUCAUUUAAAAAUAUGUAAUAGUAACAAUGAUGAGAUGUAGACACUCUGUAGUUGGCUGGCUUAAUUUUGUAACCUGUCAACCAUUAGCAAUUACAUAGCUUGUUAAUAAAAGUGGUGAAAAGCAAGUUUAUUUUUAGUGACUACAAUUUCAGGGCUUAUAUUUUGUGUAUCUACCAUGAUGUUAAACUAAACAUCACCUUUUUCACAUGAAGGAAUAAUAUGAUCAUAUCACAGCACACAAGCUCAAGUUUUCAUGAUCUUACCCUUGGUUUUGAUUGACCCUAGAAGCCACAAGCUUUGUGAUCUUUAUCAGAGUUACUGGGGUAAUGUAAUCUUUGAACACAUUAUAUAUAAGACUAAUGGAUCUUAUGAAAUGAGAACACUAAUAAAUUAUGAAUCACCGAAUUAAUCUAGGCAAAUACUUCAGAUUUCUCUUGGCCCUCAUUUGAAUGAAAAGUUAAACUAUUUCUUUUUCCUCUCUUGCCUCAUAUAAUGAAAUCCACUCUUAAUAAACACUUACUGAAAUUGGAGGCACAGAGUUCACCAUUCCAAGAGACUAGUAGGUUAUAGCCCUCUGCAACUAAUCACAGAGGCUCUCCAUGCUGUAUCCGUUGGUCACUCUAAGGGAGUGACCCUAGGAAAACCUGCCCGGACCUAGAGUUGUGCCUAUAUCUCACUAGGUCUUGAUACCAGUACCCCAGAUGAAACUGAUGUGCAAUGAUUUCUUCUUACGACUUUUCUGCUUCCCUGAGGACAAAGUAUUUGUGUCCCUUAAAAUAGCCAUGUCUCCAAAUUGCAUAUCCAGAGGAAACACUGCAUUUUCAAUCUCCAAGUAUGAUAACUCAAUAAACCUUCAGCUCUAAAAUUCAGAGCAUUUGUAUAGUAUCCUCUAAACUACCAUGAAAUUACACCCCUCCCUUUAAAAUUUCUCUAGUUUGUUUAUUUUUAUAGCUUCUACCUCCAGAACAGACAGCACAAGUCAUCAGCAUCCAACCAAAGUUAUAAAAAGUCUUUCUGUUUCUCUCUCUGUGUAGAAGUCAUCAUUUUGCUCUCACCCAUAUGGGAGGUUAAAUUUCACUUUUUCUCAGUACUGAAAAUCAGUGCCAGCUUCCACCUCUUACAAUCAAUCUAAGACCCCUGGUCAGUCCAAACAGCUUAGGUAAAAUGGUUGGCAUUUGAUAUUUUAGCUACAAUAGUGUAGCUCUAUCAACUUGAAUGUGGGAGAGAAAAAUUGCAUUUCCAAUUUAUCCCAUUACAAUCUUGCCUUUACAUAGUCAAAAAAAAAAAAAAAAAAAGCAGCAACCAUUGCUCUAUUUCUCGUGAUUUUACUUUCAACUCUGCUUUUUUUCCCCCCACUAACAAAUGACCUUCAUCAAAGAUACCAGGUAAAAUUUAGCAACUAAAUCCUUAAUCUUUAAAACAGAUAUGGUAGACUUAAUUUGUGUCCUACUUUAGAAGGAAAAAGUUAAGCAAGCAAAGCAAAUUAUUUCAUCUACAAUUGCUAAUGUUUUCAUGAAACUUUUUGAAAUUAAUAUUCAUAUGGAAACAAAAUUCUAAAAUUCUUCAUACCAAAGAACACUAGAUCCUUUUAUAACCAUUAUUUUAAAUUACUGAAACAUCUCAAAAUUCCUAAUUAGGUGAUCAUUCUAAAAUUAUUAUGAUACAAAUAUCUACAUGAUAUUUUUUUAAAUGAGCUCUUUUAUUUUCUUAAAUAGUAUGCAGACACUUGGGGGAGUCAAUACUACUAGGAUUUUUAUAUGAAUAUGUCAAGAUUUACAGUUUUCUGCUUAUAUCAUACAAAGGAAGAGGAAACAGACAACAAAUUACAUUAAUUUGUUACAUUCAGUUCUCCAAAUCUGUUCUAUAAUUAUCCAAAUAAUUAUCUAAAUCAGCUUCCCCCCAAAUCAUCAGAAAAACCUGUUGGAUCAGUACAGCUCCAUUUAUCAGGCUUGCUUGAGGAAGGAAGCAAAUGACAACACCUUUAUAGAGCCUCAGACAUCUCAGAAAGGAAGCACCAGGAGAAGAUACUUGGAAGGCUUCAGCCCAAACAGGUGAUUUCGAGCCACAGGUCUGGAGGGUCAAGCUGACAUUGUUCCACCCAAAUAGCAUUUUUUUGAGUCUGAGUCUUCUCCAGAGGCAUCACAGCUCUCUCGGACUAUACAAUCACAUUUUGGCUAAGAUCAAGUGAAGUGUGGAGAGGAGCUGGAAGGUCACUGUGCCCUACCGCCACAGCUGAAGCCACCAUUUAUAAAAAUCGUGAGCAUUCAAAACUUAGUUUGUUCCAGAACAACAUAUAAAGGCCAUAGCAGAGAGCUGGAUCAGAAGUGGAGCAGCCAGGACUCCACCCAGCACCCUUAUAGGAUGCCAGGACUGCAGGCAGUGGCUUUACCUGCUAUGUCACAGCGCCAACCCUUCUGGUUGUAUUUUCUAAAUUAUCUCCUGUAUUCUAAUACUUUUCUUCAUUUUAAUUAUAUUUUUAUUAUUAAUGUGCUGUAGAAGUUGUUCAGAUAUACUUUAUGCGGUCCACUGUGAAAUACCUGUAUUGCAAAAAUUGUUACCUAGUAUGUGGUGCACUUAUUCAUUUUUUAAAAAAAAUUAUAUAGGGCAAGCAAAUUUCAUGUAUUUCAUAUAUACAGAUUCGUGAGCAUAGUGAUAUUUCCCACCCUACUCUCCCUCCCACCCAACCUCCUACGCUCUCUGCUUCUUCCUUUGUUAUCUUUCUUUUAAUUUUUGCAAUGACAUAAUUUCAGCUUAUUUUAUAACCAUAAGAUUAAGUCUCCACUAAGUAAAGGAUUCACUUUCUUAGUGUUUGGGGGGAAGAUUAAAUUAUCAAACUGUGA